ACGCGCCGCCGCCCCUCCCCAAUCGCGCCCCCCUCUCCAACCCUAAUCUCUCCCUCUCACGCGGCGCCACCGCCGUCGCCGCCGCCCUCGACUGCCGCCGCUCCGCCGUUGUUGCAUCCGUCGUCUCGCCGCCACCGAUCUCAAUCGCGUGAUUUCCUUUUCUUAUCCCGAAAUCGUGCAACCCUCUCACCCUAACCCUAAUCUUGUCCCCGCCGACCGACGCGCCGCCCCUCCCCGCUCGAGUCCAUGCCGCCGCAAGUUCGCCGUCGCAGGCCGCGUCACCCGGAUCAGCGUUGACGUCGCACGCCUUCCUCCUCACAUCGCCCGGCAUACGCUCGUCCUCGGUCAUAUCGGCGCCACCGCCGUCGCCGUCACACGCAGUCCUCCCCGUCCACCUCGCCGGCCUCGCGCCCUCGCCGCUCCCAACCUCGCCCACGAGGUAACUAUAGUUUUUGUUGCUCUGGAUCGAUUGAUUUACGGUUGGGCGUGAGGGGAUUGCGACAAGCCAGUGAGGUCACUGUUUUGGUUCAUAUCUUCAUGUAAAUCUUGAUGUUGCAGUUCAGGCUGUCAGGAAUUAUGUUAGCUCGUUUUCGUCCAUGCUGUUAUUACUGAUGUAAAAUGAUUGAUGGGUUGAACCAACUUGUCAGCAUUAACGAUUGUUAUAUUUCUU
rnacentral:sRNA from 1 species